rfam:Dipodomys ordii contig_62092, whole genome shotgun sequence.
GUGGCUCAGUGGUAGAGUGCUUGCCUUGCAUGCAUGAGGUCCUGGGUUCGAUUCCUCAGC